UCCCGUAGGUCCUCUUGGGCCUCUCUCACCUCGAGGGCCCUGCGGAAAACAACAAACAGUUACACAUAACGGCGACACCCCGCCAGGAUUCAUUUUAGCCGUCCGAGGUGCCAAGAUGGUGCCAUCUGUUAGCGUCACGACUCUGCUGACUAAGACACUCACCGUCGGUCCUCGCUGGCCACGAGGGCCCGACUUUCCCGCCGUUCCCUGUGGAAAAGAAAGCAAGAUUACCCGUACUCAUUUUCUGAUUACAAACGUCGCUAAUAGUGGGUGGAUCGGCAACUCACCUUCACGCCUCGAGGACCGGGAUAACCGAUGGGUCCUUGAGGGCCGGCUGGUCCCUGAAGACAACCAACGCAGGCCAGUCGAGCACACCCUGGUGGACAAAAUCCAUCAUGACUUGAAUAUCAGACGGCCUACUAUGAAGAUUGAAAUGAAAGUACCGUAAAUCUCAAAAGAUUGCAAGGCUGAAGGUAAGACUAUCGUAACUCACCCAUUACUGCGGGUUGUAAUGAGGCGACUGCAACCAAAAAAAGUUGAAGGGCUUAAACUGAGACGACAGUAAAUCCUCCCAAAAUUGUGCAGGUUAACAAAGAGCAGUGUAAAAAUCCCUCAAAAGUUGUGCAUGAAUGUCUUAAAAUGAGACCGCUAAAGUUGUACAGUUUGAAAUUUGCAAAUCCCACUCAGAUUGCAAAUAAAAAAGAAAUAUAAAAUUAUUAUGAAGACUCACUGGUUCCCCAGGAAGUCCCCUUGGUCCGAUCUCUCCGUCAUCUCC